CUUCUCUUUUUUUUUCGUCUCGGGUCUUCGUUACUGUGUAAGCGUUAUAGCCUAACGGUGGUGUGAUAUUGUUCAAAACCCUAGAUGCGCAUCUUCAUCUCUUUCGUUCCUAGUCAGUUGUUGUGAAUUCUUCUUCUUCUAGGGUUUGGUGUUUGUUUCGGAAGUGAAAUUAUGAUCCCGAUAUCAUCGCUCCCCCCGCUUCGUCUUGAUCCGUCGCUGUCUAGGGAGGAAUUGAAGGAAUGGGAUCUGUAGUUGUCUCUUGCUGCUUGGUGAUGCUAAUGAUGGUAACGUCAUAAGAUUUUGAUAAAGAUGCAGAGGACCGAGAGAUUACUUGUCAUGGAUGAUGCUUUUAUCUAUCAGUGAUGGCUUUGACUGACUGUUCUCAGGCUUUCUCAUGGGUUUUAGAUGAUGCUUUUAUCUAAAUAGUGAUGGCUUUGACUGAGCUUCCUCAUGGGUUCAUUGCUCUAAACACAUCUCUUUUAUCUGUUUCUGAGUUUUCACUUUGGUUCUGUGGUUUUUUCCCAUCUAAUUGCAAGUUAAUAUUUACUUGUCGUUUUUGGAUAGAAUGCUGAUGAUGGUAACGUCAUAGAUUACUCUCUACUAUCUGUUCAUGAAUAUUUACUUUGGUUUUGUGGUUUUUUUUUUUUUUUUUCCUUCUUCUAUUUACUUGUCCUUUUUGUUAUUUCAGGUUUUGGAUGAUGCUUUUAUCAAUCAGUUAUGGCUUUGACUCAUCUUCCUCUGGCGUUCUCAUGGGUUCCUUGCUCUUAACGCAUCUCUACUAUAUAUUCAUGUUAUUUACUUCUCGUUUUUGUUAUUUCAGGUUUUGGAUGCUAACGUUGAUGAAGAUGGAAUGUUAAUGAUGAUUGAAUUAUUCCAUACCUUUUGCUAGCUUAGAUGCCAAGGAGAUAUCUGGUGCUAAUCCUGUUGAAGUACAGAGCUUUGGUAUGUAUCCUAGGGUCUUUGACUCAGCAAGCUUCUUCCCUUAAUGUCAGAACGUAUUGCAAAGCUUCUUCAUG